rnacentral:rRNA from 1 species
CGGCGCUCUUACACAUGCAAGUCGAGCGGAAAGGCCCUUUCGGGGUACUCGAGCGGCGAACGGGUGAGUAACACGUGAGUAACCUGCCCCUGACUCUGGGAUAAGCCUGGGAAACUGGGUCUAAUACCGGAUACGACCAUUUCUCGCAUGGGAUGGUGGUGGAAAGUUUUUUCGGUUGGGGAUGGGCUCGCGGCCUAUCAGCUUGUUGGUGGGGUGAUGGCCUACCAAGGCGACGACGGGUAGCCGGCCUGAGAGGGCGACCGGCCACACUGGGACUGAGACACGGCCCAGACUCCUACGGGAGGCAGCAGUGGGGAAUAUUGCGCAAUGGGCGGAAGCCUGACGCAGCGACGCCGCGUGGGGGAUGACGGCCUUCGGGUUGUAAACCUCUUUCAGCAGGGACGAAGUUGACGUGUACCUGUAGAAGAAGCGCCGGCUAACUACGUGCCAGCAGCCGCGGUAAUACGUAGGGCGCGAGCGUUGUCCGGAAUUAUUGGGCGUAAAGAGCUCGUAGGUGGCUUGUCGCGUCUGCCGUGAAAGCCCGUGGCUUAACUACGGGUCUGCGGUGGAUACGGGCAGGCUAGAGGCUGGUAGGGGCAAGCGGAAUUCCUGGUGUAGCGGUGAAAUGCGCAGAUAUCAGGAGGAACACCGGUGGCGAAGGCGGCUUGCUGGGCCAGUUCUGACGCUGAGGAGCGAAAGCGUGGGGAGCGAACAGGAUUAAUACCCUGGUAGUCCACGCUGUAAACGUUGGGCGCUAGGUGUGGGGGUCUUCCACGACUUCUGUCCCGUAGCUAACGCAUUAAGCGCCCCGUCCUGGGGAGUACGGCCGGCAAAGGCUAAAUCUCAAAGAAUUGAAC